GUCCAGAUGAUGGGUCCCAAAUAGAACGAAACGCGCGUCCUAAAU
rnacentral:hammerhead_ribozyme from 1 species